rnacentral:rRNA from 1 species
AACGAACGCUGGCGGCAGGCCUAACACAUGCAAGUCGAGCGCGCCCUUCGGGGUGAGCGGCGGACGGGUGAGUAACGCGUGGGAACGUGCCCUUUUCUACGGAAUAGCCUCGGGAAACUGAGAGUAAUACCGUAUACGCCCUUUGGGGGAAAGAUUUAUCGAAAAGGAUCGGCCCGCGUUGGAUUAGGUAGUUGGUGGGGUAAUGGCCUACCAAGCCGACGAUCCAUAGCUGGUUUGAGAGGAUGAUCAGCCACACUGGGACUGAGACACGGCCCAGACUCCUACGGGAGGCAGCAGUGGGGAAUCUUAGACAAUGGGGGCAACCCUGAUCUAGCCAUGCCGCGUGAGUGAUGAAGGCCUUAGGGUUGUAAAGCUCUUUCAGCUGGGAAGAUAAUGACGGUACCAGCAGAAGAAGCCCCGGCUAACUCCGUG